UAAAUCUCAAUCCAACGAGUGAGCGACGUGGAAAUAACCUCGCAGAAGAGGGAUAUAUUUCAAUAUUUAUUUCUCAUGAAAUGACACUACUCUGCAGCAUAUUGCGUGAAAGACGAGCUGCCCCGCUGUAGCUUCACCGUGAAUGUCUGGUGACGUAUCGGCUGCUCCGUCUGCUUUGGAGGUUGCCACCUUCCUCGGCAAAACACUUGGCGCAGGCGCGGCACUGACGGCUGCUGUCUACUUAGCCCGCAAAGUCUGCCUAAUAAUGGCGUGGAAAUCUGGAGGAGCUAGCCACGCAGAACUCGUCAACAACCUGCGCAAAAAUGGCAUCAUCAAGUCCGACAAGGUCUAUGAAGUCAUGCUGGGGACAGACCGGGCACAUUACUCUCGAUGUAACCCUUACAUGGACUCGCCGCAGUCAAUAGGCUUCCAAGCAACCAUCAGCGCCCCGCAUAUGCACGCGUAUGCCCUGGAGCUUUUACAAGAGCAGCUGCACGAGGGUGCCAAAGCCCUGGACGUGGGCUCCGGCAGCGGAAUCCUUUCUGUUUGCUUUGCACGAAUGGUAGGCCCUGAAGGGAAAGUUGUCGGCAUCGACCACAUUAAAGAGCUGGUUGACGACGCUGUUACCAAUGUGAAGAAAGACGACCCCAGUUUGAUCACGUCGGGAAGAGUAACGCUAAAAAUCGGAGACGGACGAUUGGGCUACACAGAAGAGGCGCCUUAUGACGCCAUCCAUGUUGGAGCAGCAGCAGCAACGGUCCCCCAAGCUCUCCUGGACCAGUUGAAGCCCGGCGGCCGUCUCAUUCUGCCCGUAGGCCCGGCAGGGGGGAACCAGAUGUUAGAGCAAUACGACAAGAUGGAGGAUGGCAGCACCAAAAUGAAGCCCCUGAUGGGGGUGAUCUAUGUGCCUUUAACGGACAAAGACAAGCAGUGGUCCAGGUGGAAGUGACUCCCUUCUUCUCCCCUCCCUCCCUUCCAUCCUCUCCUUCUCACAGCGGAAAAGGGAUGAACUCUGAACAGGAAGACAGUCCAUACGCCACCUUUGUAAUAUCGAACCUGGACCGAAAAAAACGGACUUGCGGGGGGGUAAAUUCCAAAAGCAUAAUAAAACGACUUAUUUAAGUUUAUUCACUAAGCGUGAUGGACUAAAGAGUAUCGAUGAAGAGGGAGGGGGAAAAAAAAACGCUUUAAGCUGUACCUGAAUAAUAUUUUCUGUUGUGGUUUCCUUAUUUUGAAUGCAGUCAGCUAUAGUAUUUCUGCGUCAAAAGAAGAAUGUUGGACUUUAAAGCCUGAGCCUAUUAGGUGAUCCACAUCACUGCAGUUUCAAUUCCUCUGCUAAUAGAUGAGCUUGUCAACCAACCUCCCCCUCCCACACAGACACUGAUUGCAGUAUUAGCUGAUGAGCCCCAAAUAAUUGCAGCACUCAAGACCAUCUUAUACUACAGCCUAGCGAUGCAGUCGGGGUACAAUACCGGCAAUAGUUUCCAUCCAAAGAAAACGGAUCAUUAACACCAACACGUGCAUGGCAAAGAUGCGCUUCCAAGAAACAUCAAAUGCAAGCCCCUCUGGUGAUUUUUUCACAGUCACUGCUUUGCCAAAACAAGCUGUCAUAAAUGAAUGUCUUGAGGGAAAAACUUUAAGCACAUUUUAUUUGGAGUGAACUGAGUGAUGAUUGUCAUGAUUUCUGGAAUGGCAUAUGACAAUAAAGUUAGCUUGUG